UACGAAGGGAGCUAGCGUUGUUCGGAAUCACUGGGCGUAAAGCGCACGUAGGCGGAUGUGUCAGUCAGGGGUGAAAUCCCGGAGCUCAACUUCGGAACUGCCUUUGAUACAGCACAUCUGGAGUCCGGAAGAGGUGGGUGGAAUUCCUGGUGUAGCGGUGAAAUGCGUAGAUAUCGGGAGGAACACCAGUGGCGAAGGCGGCUUCCUGGCCUGUUCUUGACGCUGAGGCGCGAAAGCUAGGGGAGCAAACGGG
rnacentral:rRNA from 1 species